rfam:Echinostoma caproni strain Egypt genome assembly, scaffold: ECPE_scaffold0000318
GCACUGCUGACGAGUCUCAAACAGGACGAAGCAGCUGUUCAGUGC